GUUUACUCAGGGAGGAAAGACAAGCAACUGCGCUUGCUUCAGUAAUGGCGAAUGAACUGGCAACAGACAGGCUCAGCCUGAAUGGAAUCCAGCUGCAACAGUGUUGCAAUCGGCUUGUGUGUGAUUCAGCAGAUGCUGUGGGUUGAUGGAGUGGGUGGCGAGUCUGGUCAGCCAUGCACCAAGAAAGUCCCUGGAAUGGGCUACUACAAAAGGAUACUGUCCUGUAUGGUGCUGAGUGCUGUGGCCUGGCUGGGCUUUGCUGCCUGCAUCCAAGAGUAGAGUUGCUUGGGACUGCAGUUUGAAGUGCAGGGUGUAUCCUCUGCAAGGCAGAAUACUGACAUGGAACCGAUAGCGCACAAGUAGAGUGAUUGAAGGAUGCAAAGCACCUUGCAAAGGGGGUUCAACGUCCCUGAAGCCUCAGCAGGAACGGCGAAGAGUGGUGUUGUGGUUAUCUGGUCGCCAUCAGGCAGCCUGUUUCCAGUCUGGAUAGGCCUCUUCCCAGAGCCAUCCGCUGGCUGGCUGUCCUGAGACCAGGGUCUUCGGACCAAACGUUGGAAUCCAAGCAACCUUGGGCUGGCCCAGAGCUGGCUACUGAGCUCCAUCCCAGAUGUUGGAAUGCAUCGUGGCAGUUUGUGGUGACACUCAGCUUGCCUGAGCCUGAGGGUAGCAGAUCAGAGAUAUCACUAUGUUUGUCACAAAGAAGGCGAUCUCCAAUAGGAGAAAAGCAUCGUUGAGAGCUGUGCCAAGCCUGCUGUGUCUUCGGACAUGGCAGUGCAUUGUGCCUUGUAUGUUGAAGCUAGGCCUUGCUGCCUGUUGAACUGCACCAUCUUGAUGGUGGUUCACUGGUGGUGGAAGCUUUGCAGAGAGAGUGCAGUGCAGAUGGCAGUGAGCCUUGGUCUCMGGCCCCCUYUUGCCYUG
rnacentral:rRNA from 1 species